CAAUGCCUAAGAAAAUCUGCAAGAAGUGUCAGUCAGGGUUCAGUUCAAGUGACAGCUAAAUAUGCCUCUCUGGAGAUGAACGAGAGCUGGUGGGCUUGAAAUGCAAACAACCUCAAACAAAGCCAGCCAGUGUCCACACCGGCUAGUUUUUAAAUCACACAGUAGCCUUCAACCAUUAACACUUCAAACACCAUCCAAACCUUUGAAAACUCAGCUCAUUUAUUAAUGUUCCUAUUAAUGCCCCUUCCAUAUUCUCUUCACAGGUUUGCCUCCUAGAUUGGUCAGAAUGUGGCUGCUCUAUCCUACAUGGCCAAGGGGAAAGAAUAGCCAUGAGAUACUUCAGAAGAGACAGCACGAUCUGGUGGUGGGAUGCAGAGGUCUGAAGUCUCUUUCUUGCUCUGUCAAGCAUGUGCUCUUCAGGUUUGGAAUUUCUACCUCGGAAACUCUUCAUCUUUAACCAUGAGGUGCAAUUGCUGAGGAAGAAAGACUCCCCUCUGCGACCCAGUGCCUGGGUUAGCGGUGUUGGAGGGACCCUUCAAGAGAGGUGUCUGAUUCCGCUGCUGUCUCCUGUCUGCAUCACCAAGUGGCACUCAGAGAGCUAACAUCUGCAGACACUGUAGUCUGUGAAGUGGAAACUAUUGGUCUGCAGUUCAGUAACUUUGAAUUCAAUCAAGUUUUUGCUUGCUGAUUUUCUUUGGGUUCAGCAGUCAUUAAAGGUGAUGAGAAUCUUGGAUGAGAUCCAGUUAGCUAUCACUAAACACAGAAGUACAAAACUGAUGAAAUUAUUUCUUCUUAGAGGCAAAAGAAAUUAUAGUUACAUGGUGCAUCUGUCCUGAAAUGUGUGCUCGGUUGUGGGAUUGCGGUUUGUCUUUGGUCAUGCUGUAUAUUUUUGAAGAAGAAUUUAGACCAAUGGUAUAUGCAUUGCCCCAUGUGUAUUCUAGAUUUAUGUGUAGUGGAUUUGAGUAAACACGACAGAUUGGAAAUGGAUGUUUUUUCCAUGCAGGUUGGCAGUACUUUAACCUGUUAGCAGCUUAAAGAGUGGAGCCUGGGUGAGGACCAGACAUUAACACGUUCUGCUGCUCUGAGUGUGCUAUACAAGAAGGGAGCAAUUGCUCUUAGUAGUCAGGCUAGUAUUCAGGACAUCAGGAAUCUAACUCCUAAUUCAGAUCAGUUUGUGUCACCCAUUGUCACCCUGCAUACCCUGCAAACAGCUCACUGCCUGUCAGGACCAAGUAGUCCAAGAUGACACAAAUAUAUUUUUUUUCCUGUUGCCAUGUUGAGAUCUCCUGCCCUCUUCAGCCUCCCUGUAGGCCCCUGUGAUGCUGGUGAGACAGUUCUGGGAAGCAGAGGAAGAAAAUUGUUUCGUUUCUGGAAACCUGGCACCUGUUUUCUUGUGGUUUUUUUUUUAAGGAG
rnacentral:lncRNA from 1 species